rnacentral:rRNA from 1 species
UACGUAGGUCCCGAGCGUUGUCCGGAUUUAUUGGGCGUAAAGCGAGCGCAGGUGGUUUAAUAAGUCUGAUGUAAAAGGCAGUGGCUCAACCAUUGUGUGCAUUGGAAACUGUUAGACUUGAGUGCAGUAGAGGAGAGUGGAAUUCCAUGUGUAGCGGUGAAAUGCGUAGAUAUAUGGAGGAACACCGGUGGCAAAAGCGGCUCUCUGGACUGUAACUGACACUGAGGCUCGAAAGCGUGGGUAGCAAACAGG